rnacentral:rRNA from 1 species
GGUUAAGCGACUAAGCGUACACGGUGGAUGCCCUGGCAGUCAGAGGCGAUGAAGGACGUGCUAAUCUGCGAUAAGCGCCGGUAAGGUGAUAUGAACCGUUAUAACCGGCGAUUUCCGAAUGGGGAAACCCAGUGUGACUCGUCACACUAUCAUUAACUGAAUCCAUAGGUUAAUGAGGCGAACCGGGGGAACUGAAACAUCUAAGUACCCCGAGGAAAAGAAAUCAACCGAGAUUCCCCCAGUAGCGGCGAGCGAACGGGGAGGAGCCCAGAGCCUGAAUCAGCAUGUGUGUUAGUGGAAGCGUCUGGAAAGGCGCGCGAUACAGGGUGACAGCCCCGUACACAAAAGCGCAUGUGCUGUGAGCUCGAUGAGUAGGGCGGGACACGUGGUAU